CACAGACGAGGGGCUCCCCCACAAAAAGGGGGCUCCUCCCACAAAAAGGGGGCUCCUCCCACAGACAGGAGACUCCUUCCACAGAGAGGGGGCUCCUCCCACAGACAGAGGGCUCCCCCACAGACAGGGGGCUCAUUCCACAGACAGGUGGCUCCCCCACAGACAGGGGGCUCCCCCACAGACAGGAGGUUCCUUCCACAGACAGGGAUCUCCUCCCACAGACAGGAGGCUCCUUCCACAGACGGGGGGUUCCCCCACAGACAGGAGGCUGCUUUCACAGACAGGGGGCUCCCCCACAGACUGGGGGCUCCCCCACAGACAGGAGGCUGCUUCCACAGACUGGGGACUCCCCCAGAGACAGGAGGCUGCUUCCACAGACAGGGGACUUCCCCAGAGACAGGAGGCUCCCCCACAGGGGCUCAUCCCACAGACAGGGGGCUCCUCCACAGACAAGAGGCUCCUCCCACAGACAGGGGACUCUCCCACAGACUUGAGGCUCCCCCCACAGGGGCUCUGCCCACAGACUGGGGGCUCCCCCACAGACAGGAGGCUCCUUCCACAGACAGGGGGCUCCUCCCACAGACGGGGUCUCCUCCCACAGACAGGGGGCUCCCCCACAGACGGAGGCUCCUCCCACAGACAGGAGGCUCCUCCCACAGACAGGGGGCUCCUCCACAGACAGGAGGCUCCAUCCACAGACAGGGGGCUCCUUCCACAGACAGGGGGCUCCUCCACAGACAGGAGGCUCCUCCCACAGACAGGGGGCUCCUCCACAGACAGGGGGCUCCUCCCACAGACAGGGGGCUCCCCCACAGACAGGGGGCUCCUCCACAGACAGGGGGCUCCUUCCACAGACAGGGGGCUCCU
rnacentral:lncRNA from 12 species